rnacentral:rRNA from 1 species
UACGUAGGGGGCUAGCGUUGUCCGGAAUCAUUGGGCGUAAAGAGCUCGUAGGCGGCCAGAUAAGUCCGGUGUGAAAGUCAAAGGCUCAACCUUUGAAUGCCGCUGGAAACUGUCUGGCUAGAGUCCGGGAGGGGCGAGUGGAAUUCCUGGUGUAGCGGUGAAAUGCGCAGAUAUCAGGAGGAACACCAAUGGCGAAGGCAGCUCGCUGGAACGGUACUGACGCUGAGGCGCGAAAGCGUGGGGAGCAAACAGG